rnacentral:rRNA from 1 species
UACGUAGGGUGCGAGCGUUGUCCGGAAUUAUUGGGCGUAAAGAGCUCGUAGGCGGUUUGUUGCGUCUAUCGUGAAAACCUGCAGCUUAACUGUGGGCUUGCGGUGGAUACGGGCAGACUUGAGUUCGGUAGGGGAGACUGGAAUUCCGUGGUGUAGCGGUGAAAUGCGCAGAUAUCAGGAGGAACACCGGUGGCGAAGGCGGGUCUCUGGGCCGAUACUGACGCUGAGGAGCGAAAGCGUGGGGAGCGAACAGG